AUUGAACGCUGGCGGCAGGCCUAACACAUGCAAGUCGAACGAGUGGCGGACGGGUGAGUAAUGUCUGGGAAACUGCCCGAUGGAGGGGGAUAAAUACUGGAAACGGUAGCUAAUACCGCAUACCAUCGGAUGUGCCCAGAGGGGGGUGGCUCGUAGUGUGGGUAACGUCUCACCUAGGCGACGAUCCCUAGCUGGUCUGAGAGGAUGACCAGCCACACUGGAACGGAGACACGGUCCAGACUCCUACGAGAGGCAGCAGUGGGGAAUAUUGCACAAUGGGCGCAAGCCUGAUGCAGCCAUGCCGCGUGUAUGAAGAAGGCCUUCGGGUUGUAAAGUACUUUCAGCGAGGAGGCGUUACUCGCAGAAGAAGCACCGGCUAACUCCGUGCCAGCAGCCGCGGUAAUAC
rnacentral:rRNA from 1 species